GGAUUAGGCAUGCAAGUCGAACGGGAAGCCGUUGAUCAAUCUUCGGAGAGUGAUUCGGUGGAGAGUGGCGAAAGGGUGAGUAACGCGUGUAUAAGCUGCCCUCAAGUUGGGGACAACGUCUGGAAACGGGCGCUAAUACCGAAUGUGGUCUUGUGGCGCAUGUCACGAUGACUAAAGGUGGGGAUCCUUCGGGACCUGCCGCUUGAGGAGGUGUACGCGUGCCAUUAGCUUGUUGGUGAGGUAACGGCUCACCAAGGCGUAUGGCUAGCUGGUCUGAGAGGAUGAUCAGCCACACUGGGACUGAGACACUGCCCAGACUCCUACGGGAGGCUGCAGUCGAGGAUCAUUCGCAAUGCCCGAAAGG
rnacentral:rRNA from 1 species